GAGGUGAGAGGAUUGCUUGAGCCUAGGAGGUUGAGGCUGUAGUGAGCUGUGAUCGUACCACUGCACUCCAGCCUGAGUGACAGAGCGAGGCCCUGUUUCA
ensembl:miRNA